GGUGGGUAGAAGUGUUUUGUUUGUUGUUUUGGUUGCCGUUUUUUUUUGGUUUUUCUGUGUUUGUGGGGGGGGGGGGGGGGGGAAUGUCAUGUUUCCGAAAGAAGUGUAGUAUUUUGGAGAGAAAAUGUUUUGUUUUCGUUUGAAAGGUGGUAUUUUGUGGGAGAUGAUGCUUAACUGUGGGGCGAAAAGUAGGAUCUGGGGGAGAAAAUCCACUUCUGGGGGGAAAGAAUAGGACAUUUUCUCCCCCAAGUACCCCUUGUCUCACCGAAACAAGACUCUUUCUCCACUAAAUACCACUGCUCUCCACAAAACAUGACUUCUCGCCUGCCAAAUACAAAGCUGUUUGCUUUCCAAAAAGACGACGUUUCCUUCGCGCGCUCCCUUUUUUCUCCACAACAUGCAAAUUCUCUCUCCAAAACAGGACAGUUUCUCCCCCAAACGCUACUUUUCUCCAGAACAUAGGGCCCUUCCUUCGCGCAUCAUGCCACAUUUCUCCUGAAAAUAUACAGCUCUUCCUUGCAAAAUACCACUUUUCUCCCAAAGACAUGACCAUUUUUCUUCCCACACCAUACCACUCUUCUCCAAAACUACGAUCUCUCCUCUCAAAAACGCCACUUUUCUCCCAAAAAUACGACCGUUUCUUCCCCUCGGG
ensembl:lncRNA